rnacentral:lncRNA from 1 species
AGGAACCCGAAGGAACCCCAAACAAGCCUCUCAAACUUGUCAUCACACUUCAUCGGUCGCAGAAGUACAUUCAACAUUAAUUAACGGGAAAUAGGGACUAAGGGCAAACCAUUUCAAAAUGACAUCAUAGAACAAGAGUCAAGCUCAUUUACAAAAUACUUGUCCAACGCACACCUCUACAUACAUAGAUAGGACGGGGCCAUGACAUUCUACCGGCUCCCCUCAUAGUCAAAAUACAAUUGUAAGCUAAAGUCUCAAAACAUAGGAGUAGGAAACAUAACAUAGCCCUCGAAUCAUUGAGGACUCACCAACAACUCGGAUAAGCACCGUACUAGCCACGUGAACGAAGAGAAGGAUCAAGAGUAGCUCCGGUCCCUACAUGGUGAC